rnacentral:lncRNA from 1 species
AGAAGCUCCAACUGCCACUAAUGAAUAAGGAGAAAAGCUGCACUUUCUAAGUUUUGGUUAGCAGGUAGUGAGUUUAUUAAAGACUCCAUAUGAAGCACGAAUGGACAGGCCUACUGAUGGGCUCAAGCAUUCUGAUACCAGAGUUUGCUCUUCCCCUCAGGAUGGCUUGAAGAAAUCAGAGCUCUGCAUGGAGAAAUCAAGGCCUCCUAAGAGACCCAUCAAAAGUACUCUACACAGUUCAUUGUGAGUUAAUCCUUACAGCUGAUAAAUAAUACUGCA